rnacentral:rRNA from 1 species
GACGAACCGUGCGAACGUUGUUCGGAAUCACUGGGCUUAAAGGGCGCGUAGGCGGGCUGCCAAGUCCGGGGUGAAAUCUUUCGGCCCAACCGGAAAAGUGCCUUGGAUACUGGCGGCCUGGAGGGAGGCAGGGGCGGAUGGAACUUCCGGUGGAGCGGUGAAAUGCGUUGAUAUCGGAAGGAACGCCGGUGGCGAAAAGCGAUCCGCUGGG